CCCAUCUUCGGCAUAUCUUAUGGCUUCCCUGCAGAGACUGUUGUAUCUCUGUGCCAUUGAUUCAGAAUCAUGUACUUGUUCAGCUGAUUCAGCACCGCAUUUUGCAUUUAUUGUCCACCGCUUCAAGAUGUAAUGUGAUGGCAAUGUAAGAAUAUUAUUUACUGUAAAAACUGUAAGAAUAUGUCUACAGAGGAUACCACUACAUUCAAACAUCUGGCAGCUGCAAUUUGCUUUCAGUUCAGAUAUAUUCAAUGAGACAAUGUAUGCUUUCUGGUCAUCCUCAAAUUUUGCAACUCUGAAU
rnacentral:lncRNA from 1 species